rnacentral:lncRNA from 1 species
GUCAGAGGCUCCGGCUGUGUUUGGGACAUGGAUGGUGUCGCCUCGGUGUGGCAGAAGUCUGUGCCUUCGUCUAUGCCCUGGUGCCUUCUCAGAGUGGAAAGGUUGGCUCUUCUCUGAUCCACAAAAAAGACCCGGGAGCAGGAAGAUAAGAAUAGUCCUGAGCUCACAACGCGACUGCGGCUCCUCUGAGGUCUGAGAUUUCCUAUUUCUGGUUAUUCUGUUGGGCUUCCCAGACGACCACAUACCUGAGCCAGAGCAGUACUUAAACUGUUUCGUCCUUUGUCCAUGUGACGCCCAUGCUGACCCUGUGGUAGACAUCGAAGUUUCUACUUGAGGCAGAGAUGUCCGGAGAGCCCAGAACCGAGCCCUAGGAGCCACAUGGCUGGCCCCGCCCAGGAGGGGCCCGACGAGACAGCAGCAACCUUUUUCUCAGGAGGAAAGCCUGAUCCUGUGAGGCCUGAGGACACCCACGGCCCACCCUGACAGCCUCCCAGCGCCCGGCUGGGCGGAGCCUGCUGGUCCCCCGUAGGCGCAGCAGGUGAAAGGCACUUCGGUACUUUCCCUGCUAGACGGGGCUGGGGGUUUCGGGGUGCAGCAUGAUCUGAGAACGUGUGUGCGCGUGUGCACGUGUGUGGGGGGGAUUUCAAGAAGGGGCAAUACUGUUUUUUAUAUGCAACUCUUCCUUUUUUCUUUUUCCCCAGCAAACCACAGAGCAGCUCCACAUUCUUUGGCAGUUUCCUGAGAAUGAACUUCAUAUUUUGAAACGGGAAAAAAGUUACCAGGAACGCAUUUCACAAGCAGCUGCUAGAACAUGCUGGGAUGGGGCCUGGAGGCUCCGGGGCAGGAAGGACCCCCAGUCUGCAGCAGCACCGCCUCCAGGCCUGCUGCCGGGCCUGGCCUCUCCAAAACCUACAGGCUUGCCCUCUGGAGCGCCUCUGCACCCCCAGCGCCUUGUGUUCAGUGCUGCAACCAAAGGAGUGGUCCUUUGCUUGCUAGUGGAGUUAGUGCGUUUCUUUUUAGCUUUCUUGCCUGUGCCACUCUUGUGUUUUCUCAGCGGCUCCUGGCUUCCUCCCUCUCUGAGCUCCUGGGCCAGCUCACACAGCCUCACGGUCAAAUCCCCUGAGAGGGCCUCGGAGGGGCCGGGGCCCAAGCCAGAGACCCCUGCUGCUCAGCCUAGGCUGGGGUCCAAGGCCUCGUGGCAGCCUGGCAGGGGAGCAGGCUCCUGGUCCUGCUAAGGACCUCCCUUCCCUUCCCUCCUUUGAAUAAUUGUGGUUUAUGCACCCGAAAGUUACAUUAAUCUUUACAAAUUAACACAGAAAGAACACAAGAAAUAGCGAAAACUUGGAAGCAGCUCAAGUGCCCGUCAGCUGGAGACUGGGUAAAGAAAAUAUGUUUUGUUUUGUUUUUAUAAAAUGGAGUACUACUCAGCCAUAAAGAAUGAGAAACUCGAGUCAUUUAUAGCUAAAUGGAUGCAUUUUGAGGCCAUACUCUUAAGUGAAAUAAAUAGGACACACAUGUGUAAAUACGAAUAGUUUCUCUAGUGUGAGAAACAAAGUGUAAAUAAGGAUUAAAAUGAAUAAUUGAUAAUGUGAAAUAAGAAGAAAAGGUCCAAAGGGGUAGGGCAAGUGGGAGGGGAAGGGGAAAGGAAAGAAGGGAAUGGAAUUAAUAUGAGAAAAUGAAAAACUGGAAACAAAGUCUCUGUAAAUAGGGAUGGAUGGAAGGGUUGAAGGGAGGUCAGAGGAAUGGGGAAAAAAUAAGAACCAAGAGAGAUUAAGUAAAGGUGCAAAUUUCCAAUGAUGAAUGCCAUUAUAUUGUAUGCCUAAAAUGUACCAAUAAAAUAAAAUUAAAAAAAAAAAGAAAGAAAGAACACAAGAAGAAAGGUGCAGCUGGAGGGGCUUUUCAUAGGACUUUAUAACUGUGAGUCCCUCAAGGCCACAGCACAGAGCCUUUCUGGCCGAGGGCCUCCUGCUGCUCCUCCUCCUCCUUCUCGGCAUCCUCCUUCUCCUGCUUUACACUUUCCAUUUGGUUUUCUUUGCUGUGCUGGGAGGGUACCCAUAGCCUCGUACCUGGCAAGUGCUCCACCACUCAGUUACACCCCAC